GACGAACGCUGGCGGCGUGCCUAAUACAUGCAAGUAGAACGCUGAAGCUUGGUGCUUGCACCGAGCGGAUGAGUUGCGAACGGGUGAGUAACGCGUAGGUAACCUGCCCGGUAGCGGGGGAUAACUAUUGGAAACGAUAGCUAAUACCGCAUAAGAGUAGAUGUUGCAUGACAUUUGCUUAAAAGGUGCAAUUGCAUCACUACCAGAUGGACCCGCGUUGUAUUAGCUAGUUGGUGAGGUAACGGCUCACCAAGGCAACGAUACAUAGCCGACCUGAGAGGGUGAUCGGCCACACUGGGACUGAGACACGGCCCAGACUCCUACGGGAGGCAGCAGUAGGGAAUCUUCGGCAAUGGACGGAAGUCUGACCGAGCAACGCCGCGUGAGUGAAGAAGGUUUUCGGAUCGUAAAGCUCUGUUGUAAGAGAAGAACGAGUGUGAGAGUGGAAAGUUCACACUGUGACGGUAUCUUACCAGAAAGGGACGGCUAACUACGUG
rnacentral:rRNA from 1 species